CAUGUUGAUUUUUUUAUGAAUGCAGAGAAGGUGGAAGAACACACGAAAGUUGAGAUUUUUAUCUAACAAACUCCAUGAGUAUAGAGAAGGUGGAAGAAGACACUAAAGCUGCGAUUUUUAUCUCAAAAACUCCAUGAAUACAAGUUCGUUUUCUUGCUUUGUCUAUCAAAGCUUAAAUUUAUGUGUUCCUGAGCCUUCUCUGAUGUGCUUCCCCCGCCAUUUUCGAUUUUUAUUUCCAAACUCCAUGAAUACAGCUGCGAUUUUUAUCUCAGAAAGCUUCGACUUUUAUCUCCAAACUCGAUGUACAAAGUUGAAUUUCUCGAAAACGGACCCCAUUCAUAGGUAUCAGAUGAACAUAGUUGGAUUGUUGUUGUUCUGCCUUAAUGGAACAAUAUGGAAAAUAUGGAUCUUUGUGUUGCAUUCGCUACCUAUUUUUAUCUUUUUUGUGUUCCAUGUUUGAGUUCCUUUCUUUACGUGUUCAUCUAUGUAUUACUUGCAAAAAAUAAUGUUCAUUACUAUGAUUAACUUUGAGCUUCACGAGCUAUCUUGAAUGUUCUCCAAUUUUGUUCUUAUCAUGGUAACGUAUCAACGUGUACAAAA